CCUACGGUAGGCUGCAGUAGGGAAUAUUGCUCAAUGGGGGAAACCCUGAAGCAGCAACGCCGCGUGGAGGAUGAAGGUUUUCGGAGUGUAAACUCCUUUUGUUAGAGAAGAUAAUGACGGUAUCUAACGAAUAAGCACCGGCUAACUCCGUGCCAGCAGCCGCGGUAAUACGGAGGGUGCAAGCGUUACUCGGAAUCACUGGGCGUAAAGAGCGCGUAGGCGGGAUAGCAAGUCAGAUGUGAAAUCCUAUGGCUUAACCAUAGAACUGCAUUUGAAACUGUUAGUCUAGAGUAGGGGAGAGGUAGGUGGAAUUCUUGGUGUAGCGGUGAAAUGCGUAGAGAUCAAGAGGAAUACUGAUUGCGAAGGCAACCUACUAGAACAUAACUGACGCUGAUGCGCGAAAGCGUGGGGAGCAAACAGGAUUAGAUACCCUUGUAGUC
rnacentral:rRNA from 1 species